UGUAGUGCAAUCUGUCUUUAAGUAGGGAUAAAUUACUCUUAAACAAAAUGAUCCUAGAUAGUUUUCCCUUCAAGUCAAGCGUCUUG
rnacentral:pre_miRNA from 1 species